rnacentral:rRNA from 1 species
ACACAUUCCCCCCUGAUUCCUGCGCCUUGUGCCCUGCCCCCCCUCGAAAGCUUGUACGCACGCCUGAUUCCCGGAGAAACAAUUAUCCCGCGCCCGUGCGAGGCCAACCAAUCAAUGAACUAAUCAUCGAAGCCUGCAGGCAAUUUAACAAAGCCAAGCAGUACGGCGGCCAGCGCGCUCCGCCACUGCCCACUGGCCACAGCACGGCGCUCUCGCGUAGUAUUAUAUUGCUCUUUCCGUCGCUCCGUCCGAGUAUUUUCUCCUCGCCUCGGGAGCUGCUCCGUUCCUCCUCUCGCCCCUCCCACCCUCGCCGGCGACCCGCCGAUGCCCCCCGGGCGGCGGCGGCGGAGGCGGGGGCACCAGUGACUGACCGGGCCGCGGCGGUGCGCGGCGCGGACGAUGGCGGCGCCGGAGGGCUCUGGCGCCGGCGGCGGGGAGGGCGCGAGGGGGAGCAGGGUGAACCAGGAGCUGUGGUACGCGUGCGCGGGGCCGCUGGUGGCGCUGCCGCCGCCGGGGAGCCUCGUCGUCUACUUCCCGCAGGGACACAGCGAGCAGGUGGCAGCAUCUAUGCGAAAGGAUGCAGACGCGCAGAUUCCAAGCUAUCCAAAUCUUCCAUCAAAGCUGAUAUGCAUCCUCCACAGCGUCACUAUGCAGUCUGAUCCUGACACGGAUGAAGUUUAUGCUCGGAUGACUCUCCAGCCAGUUAGCAAUGUGUCACAGUGUGACAAGGAGAUAUUGCUGGCGUCAGAGCUUGCCCUGAAACAAAACAAGCCACAAACAGAAUUCUUCUGCAAAACAUUGACCGCGAGUGAUACGAGCACUCAUGGAGGAUUCUCCGUGCCACGGCGUGCUGCAGAGAGGAUUUUCCCUCGUCUUGAACUCCAGGCCAGGGAUUUACAUGAUACCAUUUGGACAUUCCGUCAUAUAUUUAGAGGCCAGCCUAAAAGGCAUCUUCUGACUACUGGCUGGAGCCUAUUUAUUAGUGGAAAGAGACUUCUUGCUGGUGAUUCAGUCUUAUUUAUUAGGGAUGCAAAACAGCAACUCCUCUUGGGGAUCAGGCGAGCAAAUAGGCAACCUACUAACCUCUCAUCAUCUGUCUUGUCUAGUGAUAGCAUGCAUAUCGGAGUACUUGCUGCUGCAGCUCAUGCAGCAGCAAAUAACAGCCAAUUUACAAUAUUCUAUAACCCAAGGGCUAGUCCUUCAGAAUUUGUGAUUCCUUUUGCCAAGUACCAGAAGGCAGUUUAUGGCAACCAAUUAUCUCUUGGCAUGCGUUUUAGAAUGAUGUUUGAAACCGAAGAAUCUGGAACAAGAAGGUACAUGGGUACCAUAACUGGCAUAAGUGAUCUGGAUCCUGUAAGGUGGAAAAACUCUCAGUGGCGCAAUAUUCAGGUUGCAUGGGAUGAAGCAGCACCAAGUGAAAGACGCACCAGGGUUUCCCUUUGGGACAUUGAGCCUGUCAUCGCUCCAUUCUUCAUCUAUCCCACACCAUUAUUCACUGCAAAGCGUGCGAGGCAACCUGGGAUGAUAGAUGAUGAUACCUCUGGAAUGGAUAAUCUUUUUAAGAGAACCAUGCCAUGGCUUGGUGAGGAGAUCUGCAAGAAAGAUAUGAAUACUCAGAACAGCAUAGUGCCUGGUCUAAACAUAGCUCAGUCACUUCAGUGGAUGAAUAUGCAGCAGAACUUGUCACUAGCUGGCACAGUUAUGCAACCAGAGUUGCUAAACUCAUUAGCUGGCAAACAUGUGCAAAAUUUGUCUGCAGCUGAUAUAUCAAGGCAAAUCAGCUUCCAGCCCCAAUUCCUGCAACAAAAUAACAUCCAGUUCAACACCUCGUUACUACCUCAGCAAAACCAACAGGCUGAACAGUUAGCGAAAGCUAUAGCUACGCCAAACCAACUGGGAAAUAUUAUGGUACCACAGAAGGUAGAUCAAGAUUGCAAUUCUGACCAGAAGCAGCAUACAGUUACUCAAUCAGUGCAAGGCAGCCAGGCAAACUUAAACGUCACACAGCCUGAACAUGUUGUCCAAGCUCAGUUCCAGCAACCUCGAGUGAUUCUCCAGGCUCAACUCCAGCAACAGCAACCUCUGGUCCAGAGUCAUACCGUCUUUCAGGGAGGCCUUCAGCAAAUCCAGGUCCUGCAGCAACAGCAACCACAUUUGCAGCAACAGCUACAACAGCAACAACCUCAACAUCAUCAGCAGGUUCAACACUCAGUACAGGAGCAGCAGCAAAUGAAGAUACAACCUGUUCAUGUGUCCAGUGAUGCAAACAUGAAUACACAACUAUCUGAUCAUCAAAUGAAACUUCAAUUAUUAAAGGCUCUACAUUCACAGCAACAUCUGACCAUGGAGCAGCAGAAAAUGCUUUUUGAUUUGCAGCAACAAGUGGUAAAUUCUCAGUCAGAUCCUCAGCAAUGUGUGCAAGGAGCUACCCAAACUGUUGGUUUUCACAACAGUAACACCAUCCAGUAUGCAACGCAACAAAAGGCCCAGUCUCACCAACCGAUUGAAGAUUCGCCUAGGGGUACCAUUCCCGUUGCAAAAUCAGAUAUCGUUACCUCCAUGGGUGCUAGCUCUUUGAAUGGGACUGGUCGAAUGCAGUCAGUGAGGACAGAUAAUGUUCCGUCUUCGUCAACAUCACCAUCCACUACCACUAAUCAUGUUCUUUUGCAGUCCAUCCCAAGUAGCUCCAAGAACCAGAGUUUACCAACUGCAGCAAAAACAUCUCAAUCAUCUGUUGUCUUGGGCCCUACAAUUGAACAGGAAAUGAAGUCUUACCAGAGUGUCAAGCCAACAAUAAUGGUUCCCAAGAUGAUUGAACAAGGGCCAGCUACUGAACGAGACUACAUAAACAACCCCCACAUGGAUUACUUGGAUACGUCCUCCUCAGCUACUUCGGUUUGCCUUUCUCAGGCUGAUGGAUCAUUGCAACAAAACUUUCCAUCUUCAUCCUUCGAUCAGCAUCAGCUGUUGAGGGACACAGCUCCAGAUAGUGAGUUUGAGAUUUCAGAUCCAACAAAUAACGUUCUAUUUGGGGUGAACAUUGAUGGUCAACUGGGCUUACCACUUAAUGCAGAUGCCUUGAUUGCCAAUAGCAUUGAAAAUGAUAAAUUCAUGGAUGAGAUGGCUGGAAAUGGCAUUUCUAACUACAUUUCAUCUAAGGAUUCUCAACAAGAGUUAUCAUCUUCAAUGAUUUCACAUUCACUUGGAGUUGCUGACAUGGGAUUCAAUUCUAUAGAUUCUGCAAUCAAUGACCCCUCAUUCUUAAAUAGAAAUUCCAGGGCACCGGCUCCUGCACAUCAAUGCAUGCGAACUUACACCAAGGUGCACAAACGUGGUGCUGUAGGGAGAUCUAUUGACAUGAACCGUUAUUCAGGGUAUGAUGAACUGAAGCAUGACAUUGCGCGGAUGUUUGGUAUCGAGGGGCAGCUUGGUGACCAAAGUAGAGUUGGCUGGAAACUAGUAUAUGAAGAUCAUGAGAAGGAUGUUCUACUAGUUGGUGAUGACCCAUGGGAGGAUUUUCUGAACUGCGUACGGUGCAUCAGGAUUCUUUCUCCACAGGAAGAAAUGCAAAUGAGAUUGGUUGGUGACUUCGGAGACGGCUUUCUACCCAACCAGGCCUGCAGCAGCUCAGAUGGGGGUCAACCUUGGUAACUGAGAUCACAUGUAUGAACGACCAAUGUAGUUUCUGUGCUGCGGGACCGACAUUUUUCUCCUCUCAGUUAGUCUUAUGAAUACAGAUGCUGAGGAUGACAGUUGACGAUAAUUUAGGCUCUGAAAUUCCAAGGUCGAGCGAACAUGAAUAUAAGGAACAAUUCAUACUUUUUGUUUCUGUUGUAGUCUUGUAGUUCUCAUGUUUUGUUGGCCUUGCAAUCUACAUAGCCAACCCAUAUUUUCUGCUGCCAUGUAGUAUAUGUCACUGUUGCCUGAUGUAACAGUUUGCCACAUACUCAGAUGUCAACUACUGUAACUUGCUACAGGUUCUAAAUGAAGAAAUCGUAUUCUCCCCUUGUUCAUG